AGUGAACGCUGGCGGCAGGCCUAACACAUGCAAGUCGAACGGCAGCACAGGAGAGCUUGCUCUCUGGGUGGCGAGUGGCGGACGGGUGAGGAAUAUAUCGGAAUCUACCCUUUCGUGGGGGAUAACGUAGGGAAACUUACGCUAAUACCGCAUACGAACUGAGGUUGAAAGCGGCGGACCGCAAGGCGUCGCGCGGAUGGAUGAGCCGAUAUCCGAUUAGCUAGUUGGCGGGGUAAAGGCCCACCAAGGCGACGAUCGGUAGCUUGUCUGAGAGGAUGAUCAGCCACACUGGAACUGAGACACGGUCCAGACUCCUACGGGAGGCAGCAGUGGGGAAUAUUGGACAAUGGGCGCAAGCCUGAUCCAGCCAUGCCGCGUGUGUGAAGAAGGCCUUCGGGUUGUAAAGCACUUUUGUUGGGAAAGAAGAGCGGUCGGUUAAUACCCGGUCGUUCUGACGGUACCCAAAGAAUAAGCACCGGCUAACUUCGUGCCAGCCGCCGCGGUAACAC
rnacentral:rRNA from 1 species